AUGGGGAAGCUGAAGCCUGUCUCUCCAACGGCUACUCCUCGAGAGAAGAGGCGGCGUGAGAAGCCCAAAAGGCCCGUGCUUGAUGGCAGUCUGUCUGACUCUUCAGAUGGAAUCAUAGCAGCGGAGGAUGUUCGACGUGAGAAACCAUCCAAUGAGAGCCCUCAAGGCCUACAUCAGAGUGAUGAUGGUGACUCAGAUGAUUGCACUGUUUCCAGUGAGGAUGAGGCACAUGAUAUGAUAAGCAAUAAAAAUGAUUCUUUUGAUGAAAUGGAGUCCUCAUGUUCAUUUCAGCGUCAUGUUACUCACGUGCUAGCAAAUGAUGAAGUCAAUACAUCAGUGAAUCAGAAGAGUAAAUUUAAUUGGGAGAUUCCUGCAGAGGGCAUUCCAAAAUCCAAAUGGGUUGGAACAGGUGAAAAGAUUAAGGGAGCUUCUGAUGAUCCUUUUGUUAAUGUCAAAGGAAAGCUGAAGGACCACUGGCAAAAAAUCCUCUCGGAUGAAUUGAAUUAUAGAUCAAGGUUCUUCUCACUUUGUAAUAGUUAUCGUGACAUAAUGCAUUGUAACAAGAAGCCAUUUUAUCGUAAGGGUAGUAAGGUGGAUUCCAGUACUAUGGAUGCAUAUCUUAUGCAUGCUUUGAGUCAUGUUCAUAGAACAAGAGAUGUUGUCAUUAAAAAUGACGCGAAGCUUAGGAAUGAUACUAACACAGAUAUUUUGGAUGACAACUCAUACUGCGAUCAGGGUUUUACACGUCCAAAGGUUCUGUUCUUGUUACCUCUAAAAAGCAUUGCACGACGUGUUGUGAAGAGAUUAAUCCAAUUAUCUCCGCUGACACAAAAGAAAUCUGUUAAGCUAUACAGUAAUUUCUAUGCUUCUGAUAUCAUAGUUGCAUCUCCUUUAGCGCUUAAACUUAAAAUUGAUGGAGGUGAAGUUACCAAGAAAAAGGGACGUCCCAAGGAAAAUGAUUCUGACUUCCUGUCAUCAAUUGAAAUAGUGGUGGUUGAUUAUGCAGAUGUGAUAUCUAUGCAGAAUUGGUCACAUCUGCAUGCUGUUCUUGAACAACUAAAUCAUUUGCCAUCAAAAGAACAUGUAACCAAUGUGAUGCGGAUUAGGCCAUGGUACCUGGAUGAGCAUGCACGGUACUAUCGGCAAACAAUAAUCUUAAGCUCGUAUCUUACGCCAGAGAUGAAUGCUUUGUUCAACGGAUUAUGCUUAAAUUACGAGGGGAAGGUUAAGCUGGUGACUGAGUUUACAGGUGUUCUUCCCAAAAUACAGCUUGAAAUACGGCAGGUGUAUGAACGGUUUGAUGCAUCUUCUAUCGGUGAAUCUGAUGAUGCCCGCUUUGAAUAUUUUUGCACAAAGGUGUACCCAAAGAUUCAGGAGUCAGAUGCGGGUGGAGUGUUGCUAUUCGCCAGCUCCUAUUUUGAAUAUAUUAGGCUGAGCAAUUUUUUAAAAUCCCAGGAUGCGUCUUUCUGUAGAAUUGGGGAGGCUACGUCACAGCAGGAUAUAUCCCGUGCAAGACUCUGGUUCUUUGAGGGCCAGAAGAAGAUCUUGCUUUAUAGUGAGAGAUCUCACUUCUUCCACAGAUACAAGAUCAGGGGAGGACAUCAUUUGGUUAUCUACUCAUUGCCAGGGAGAAAGGAUUUCUAUCCGGAGCUUGUAAAUAUGCUUGGUGAAUCAGCAAAUCCCAGGUGCAAUGUGCUUUUUUCUCGACUGGACCUUCUUAAGUUGGAACGAAUCGUCGGGGCAUGUUCUGCGCGGAGGCUGAUCUCUUCCGACAAGGAUAUGUUCGUCUUCUGCUGA
rnacentral:rRNA from 1 species